rnacentral:rRNA from 1 species
AACGAACGCUGGCGGCAGGCUUAACACAUGCAAGUCGAGCGCCCCGCAAGGGGAGCGGCAGACGGGUGAGUAACGCGUGGGAAUCUACCCAUCUCUACGGAAUAACGCAUGGAAACGUGUGCUAAUACCGUAUACGUCCUUCGGGAGAAAGAUUUAUCGGAGAUGGAUGAGCCCGCGUUGGAUUAGCUAGUUGGUGGGGUAAAGGCCUACCAAGGCGACGAUUCAUAGCUGGUCUGAGAGGAUGAUCAGCCACACUGGGACUGAGACACGGCCCAGACUCCGACGGGAGGCAGCAGUGGGGAAUAUUGGACAAUGGGCGCAAGCCUGAUCCAGCCAUGCCGCGUGAGUGAUGAAGGACCUAGGGUUGUAAAGCUCUUUCACCGGUGAAGAUAAUGACGGUAAUCGGAGAAGAAGCCCCGGCUAACUUCGUGCAAGCAGCCGCCGUAACAC